CCUACGGGGGGCAGCAGUGAGGAAUAUUGGUCAAUGGUCGCAAGCCUGAUGCAGCCAUGCCGCGUGUAUGAUGAAGGUCCUACGGGUCGUAAACCGCUUUUGCACGGGGAUAACACCCUCCACUUGUGGCGGUCUGCAGGUACCGUGCGAAUAAGGGCCGGCUAAUUCCGUGCCAGCAGCCGCGGUAAUACGGAAGGCCCGAGCGUUAUCCGGAUUCAUUGGGGGUAAAGGGAGCGGAGGCGGCCAUGCAAGGCAGGGGUGAAAGCCCGGGGCCCAACCCCGGGACUGCCGUUGGAACUGGAUGGCUGGAGUGCGGGAGAGGUAGGCGGAAUGCGUGGUGUAGCGGUAAAAUGCGUAGAGAUCAAGAGGAAUACUCAGUGCGAAGGCGACAUGCUAGAACAUAACUGACGCUGAGGCGCGAAAGCGUGGGGAGCAAACAGGAUUAGAUACCCCAGUAGUC
rnacentral:rRNA from 1 species